GAUCACAAAAAACUGAAGAAAACUUCUGCCAUUUUCUUAUAUGAACUUCGACCCAAGAACACACAAUAAACCUCAACCUUUGUUGAAUUAAACCGCUUUAACACACGACAUAGUCAGCCACAUUGUCUGAAACAAUCUACAUUACUUACACACAACAAUCUAAAGUUGUUACUAGGUUGCAAGAAAAUAUAAUUACAAAGAGACCCAGAUCAUGGCUAAACAGAUGGUCACCUUUUUGCAUUUGAAAUACUACAACAGUCACAAACAACACAUCUGCACUCCCAUCAUUUUGUUUCGUUCUUCUCUAAUAUGCAAUGAACUGCUGCCACAAUCAGAAGAAAUUGCACACCUCUAUAGUUUUUUUGCAAGGUGGAACCACCUUUUUUUGUUAACUAGUGGGCAACCUGGUGCAUGUAGCUCCCGCUUGCGCAGGGUCCAGGGAAGGGUCCGACCACUUUGGGUCUAUAGUGCGCAGCCUUUCCCUACAUUUCUGUAAGAGGCUGUUUCCAGGACUUGAACCCAUGACCUCAUGGUCACAAGGCAGCAGCUUUACCACUGCGCCAAGGCUCCCCUUCAUGGUCACCUUUUUUUGUUAACUAGUGGACUGCAGAAAAUUUGCACACUGACUGCAUUUUCGUCCACUGUAUUGUCCUACCGUGGAGAGGUGAGGCGUUGGAUGGGCAGAGAGCCGGUGCUGCGUCAGCAGCAAUUGUCGAGGGAGCAAACGGAGCGAGGUGGAGGGCUAACAGCGGUGACUGGAGCUAGGCCAUGGUCGAAGGACCUGGAGGCGGAGAGGUGAGGCGAUGUAAAUAACACACUGAGAUUCAGAGGUAGUGACGAACUCACGUCCGUCAUUAGCACAACAAGCAGAAAGCACACAACAAUUCCCCUAUAGAAAAUUAGAAUAUGAAGUAUCAAAAAAAGGGUAUGGCAUGCCAUCCAAAUGGAGCAGCGGAGGCGAGUUUGAUUCCUCGUUUAGCAACGGACACUUUGUGGGAGGGAGCACCGUGGAGGCACCGUGUGUCAAAUCCAUCCAACCGCUGCUAUGACAUUUGAACUUCUUGCAGUGGCACUAGCUUCCUGCAGGGCAUGGCGGAGGAGAC
rnacentral:lncRNA from 1 species